rnacentral:misc_RNA from 1 species
UUUCCGUAGGUGAACCUGCGGAAGGAUCGUUAUCGUACAAAAUGUGAGGGGCAUCCGAGGGCUGUCGCUGACCCAAGAGUCGUGCACGCCCGAGUGUGUCCUCUUGCAUAAUAAUCCGUCUCACCCUUUGUGCAUCACCGCGUGGGCACCCUUCGGGAUCAUCUCGGAGCGGGGCUCACGUUUUCACACAAACCCCCCUUUUAAAAGUGUAGAAUGACCACAUUUAUGCAAUCAAUACAACUUUCAACAACGGAUCUCUUGGCUCUC